rnacentral:rRNA from 1 species
CCUACGGGAGGCAGCAGUGAGGGAUAUUGCGCAAUGGGCGAAAGCCUGACGCAGCGACGCCGCGUGGGCGAGGAAGGCCUUCGGGUUGUAAAGCCCUUUUGGCAGGGAAGAGCAAGGACUGUACCUGCAGAACAAGUCACGGCUAACUACGUGCCAGCAGCCGCGGUAAUACGGAGGGUGCAAGCGUUGCUCGGAAUCACUGGGUGUAAAGCGCGAGUAGGCGGUUAAUUAAGUCAGAUGUGAAAGCCCACGGCUCAACCGUGGAAGUGCAUCUGAAACUGGUUAGCUAGAGUGUGAGAGAGGGAUGCGGAAUUCCCGGUGUAGCGGUAAAAUGCGUAGAUAUCGGGAGGAACACCAGUGGCGAGGGCGGCUUUCUGGACUGUACCUGACGCUGAGACGCGAAAGCGUGGGGAGCAAACGGGAUUAGAUCCCCCUGUAGU